rnacentral:rRNA from 1 species
GACGUAGGUGGCGAACGUUAUCCGGAAUCAUUGGGCGUAAAGGGUGCGUAGAUGGCAUAAUAAGUUAUUAGUGGGAAAUCGAGGCUCAACCUCGUGGAAGCUGGUAAUACUGUUUUGCUGGAGUGCAGGAGAGGUUAACGGAACUCCAUGUGGAGCGGUAAAAUGCGUAGAUAUAUGGAAGAACAUCAAUAACGGCGAAGGCAGUUAACUAUUCUGUUACUGACAUUGAGGCACGAAAGCGUGGGGAGCAAAACGG